rnacentral:rRNA from 1 species
UACAGAGGGUGCGAGCGUUAAUCGGAAUUACUGGGCGUAAAGCGCACGCAGGUGGCUGAGUCAGUCGAUUGUGAAAGCCCUGGGCUUAACCUGGGAAUUGCAGUCGAUACUACUCAGCUAGAGUAUGGGAGAGGGUAGUGGAAUUCCCGGUGUAGCGGUGAAAUGCGUAGAUAUCUGGAGGAACACCGGUGGCGAAGGCGGCAUCCUGGACCGGUAUUGACGCUGAGGCGCGAAAGCUAGGGGAGCAAACGGG